ensembl:lncRNA
UAGUGUCUGACUGGGCACUCCCCAUAGUGGGCCAUACCAUUACUGUCUGACUGGGCACUCCCCAUAGUGGGCCAUACCAUUACUGUCUGACUGGGCACUCCCCAUAGUGGGCCAUACCAUUACUGUCUGACUGGGCACUCCCCAUAUGGGCCAUAGCAGAUACCGUUGACUGGUGUUGGCACUCAUACCCCAGUUUAAAAUGUUUUAUCAUGAAACAUUCCUGCUGGAGUUGAAAGAGCGUUAGCCCCCGGGCAGAGAGAGAGCUAUGCUGCUCUGUAAGAUCAUCCCUGAGAAAGCUCUUUAUGAAUGCAGGCUGGCAAGCCCUGUGCCUAACCCCCCGAGCCCCGACCCUGGCAUCAGGAGCAGACAUCUCUGUGUGUCUGCCAGCCCCAACCUCAAGGCUGACUGCCCCCCCCCCCCCCCCCUCGAGCAGGCUGGGGCAAGACCGAUUAAAUGCCCCUCUGUGGCCCCGGGAUCCCGAUCAGCACGGAGAGCUGGCUGUGAUGCAGGCAGUCAGUCAGUGAGGUUGUUAACUUCCACAGCCAACAUCCCAUAAUGCCAAGAGCUGGGGCUGGGCGCCACCAGAGGACUCACCAACUGUUCCUGAUUGGCAGCCUGUUCUGCGCCAAGAUGUGUGCUAGACAUGUUCAUCAGUGUUCAACAGACACUUGGACACGCUGCCCCUGUGCUGUGGUGUUGUAGGUGUUUAAAGCAUGUUUAUUUAUGUGUUCUGUCUCUUUUUUGGUUGGUUGGUUUGUUUAUGUGGCAGCCAUUUCACGUUCAAGUUGAUUUGUGGUUUUACUAUUCUGAAAUGUCUUUGUUGUGAUAAGAUACGUGGUUUAACUGGCAAAGCAAGCCUCACCGCCAUCUGUGAACUGAAGCCAUGUUGGUCUUGCAUUGUUGCAAUAUGACCAUUCAGCUCGUUAUGUCAAGUGAUACGAUUAGAACACGUGAAGACUAAACAGCAUUGUCUCUAGUUCUGUUGCAUAAGAUUCCCCAGUUGUGUUGCGCCAGACAUUGACGUUGUCCUCAGCCUGUUGGCGCCUCCUCAGCCUUUCUUUAGUUGUGCUCUGUCCUCCUAAGGCAGCAGGGUAACAGAUUUACCCGUGUGAUUGAAUAGUGAGUGCAGGUGGAUUUGUAAUUUUGCACUGGUCUCGAUGUACCGGUCUUUGGUAAAUGAGAUCGCUAAUGGUUUCUGUCAGCUUUGUUAGCGCCUCGUGAGCCCGCUGUGCAUUGUGUCUGCGCGCGCUGUCACUCUGCUAAACGGUUGAACGGGCUCCACUGCAGAGCAGACCGCGCGCGUGCGCGUGUGUGUGCGUGUGUUAUCCUCUGGAGAGGGAUGUUUAGCAUAACACAGCUCUAUGUCUCACUAAGCGCAGUUUUAUCUACUCUUUAACACUUGAAGUCUUCCAAUGAUUUAAUCAAAAGUGAUGGAUUUUAUUUUAAAGUUGGACUUACUGGGUUAGUUAUCCAUUCGGCCACACUGCUUAGAUGCUUAGAGUAGAGCCAGUUAUAUAGGAAUAGAUUUGUUUUAUUAUUUUUACUCUUCGACAUUUGUUCAAGUGUGAAGAUGCAAUGAGAUUUCAGUGAUUGGGUGAAUUUAAGGUGACCGACGGCAUGAUGUGACAGAAUAGUGUUAGAAUCAGUGUUUUGUGAAUUGCUACAUUGAUGUUUUGAGAGUAAAACAGAUGACUUGAACUUUUGAUUUUCAAAAAUGUAAUUUAAUAGACCUUGUGUGCCAUGCCCUUAUCUUGCUUGCAUUUUCUUCAAGACUUGUGAAUGGCGAUGAAGCUCAAAGAUUUAACUCUGUAUUUUCAUGGACUUUGUAGUCUUUAGACUCAUAUUUAUACAUUGUAAAUUAAAAAAAAAAUAUAAUAAAAAGUUUUGCUGAACCGUUGAUUCUUUGACCCAACACAUCCUACACAAUUGUGAUACAGCAAAUCAAACAAAAUAUCACUGAUGUUAAGACUUUUUGUGACUUUAGGCCAACUCCUGGAUAAGCUAUUGCACUGUAAUAAAUAACUUUAUGUCGGCCUGUUGUGUUGCCCCACUGAAUUGAUAAAUGACUGCGGUAGCCCUCGUGCAGUUCCCAUGUGCGACCACUGGGAGGCGUUCUGAGCCCGCGGGACACAGCGCCCCUUUGGUAAUAGCCUACUGUUAAGGUACACUGCGCUCAGGCUAGUUAGACCAGCUUUACCGUCCUCGUGUGGCGUUUUACCAUAGUAGACGGGACAGAUGUCCUAUCCACCAUCUAGCGCAUACAUAAUACAUAUACAAGCCACUCCUACCUACCCACGCAC